UACGUAGGUGGCAAGCGUUGUCCGGAUUUACUGGGCGUAAAGGGCGUGCAGGCGGUCUGUUAAGUCUAGGGUGAAAGCUCCCGGCUCAACUGGGAGAGGUCCUUGGAUACUGGCGGACUUGAGGGAGGCAGAGGAAAGUGGAAUUCCCGGUGUAGUGGUGAUAUGCGUAGAUAUCGGGAGGAACACCAGUGGCGAAGGCGGCUUUCUGGGCCUUACCUGACGCUGAGGAGCGAAAGCGUGGGUAGCGAACAGG
rnacentral:rRNA from 1 species